rnacentral:misc_RNA from 1 species
AACAAACAUUUGUAAGAAAAGACUUCAGAUAUUAUGUGGCAUCAAUCUAAAAAUUCGUUUAUGACACGACUGCAGGGUUAUCCAACCUGGGUAAUGCUCACAUUCCUGUGUAACAAUCAUAUAUCUAUUUUAUGAGCAAAAGGUGAUGGAUGUCUCUGAGAUUGGGAGGCAAUAUCAUGACAAAAGUUCUAGAGACAAAAAACAUCAGGAAGGGGCAACAUAUGACAACAUAAAAAAUAGUA